GAUGAACGCUGGCGGCGUGCCUAAUACAUGCAAGUCGAGCGAACAGAUAAGGAGCUUGCUCCUUUGACGUUAGCGGCGGACGGGUGAGUAACACGUGGGUAACCUACCUAUAAGACUGGAAUAACUCCGGGAAACCGGGGCUAAUGCCGGAUAACAUUUAGAACCGCAUGGUUCUAAAGUGAAAGAUGGUUUUGCUAUCACUUAUAGAUGGACCCGCGCCGUAUUAGCUAGCUGGUAAGGUAACGGCUUACCAAGGCAACGAUACGUAGCCGACCUGAGAGGGUGAUCGGCCACACUGGAACUGAGACACGGUCCAGACUCCUACGGGAGGCAGCAGUAGGGAAUCUUCCGCAAUGGGCGAAAGCCUGACGGAGCAACGCCGCGUGAGUGAUGAAGGUCUUCGGAUCGUAAAACUCUGUUAUUAGGGAAGAACAAAUGUGUAAGUAACUGUGCACGUCUUGACGGUACCUAAUCAGAAAGCCACGGCUAACUACGUG
rnacentral:rRNA from 1 species